rnacentral:rRNA from 1 species
AGUGAGAAUGCCGGAAUGAGUAGCGAGAAUUAUGUGAGAAUCAUAAUGGCCGAAAAUCUAAGGUUUCCUGAGGAAGGUUCGUCCGCUCAGGGUAAGCCGGGGGCUAAGGCGAGGCGGAGACGCGUAGCCGAUGCACAUACGGUUGAAAUUCCGUAGCCACCGAAAGAUUUAAGUACAGGGACGCUUUAGAAGUGAUGUUGCCGGGCGAUGGUUGACCCGGUCGUAAGGGAUCGAAAAUGAGUAGAGAAGUCAUCAUGGAAAGAGACAAGAAAAGCUGUAUGAAUAUCUUAGGUGCCCGUACCGCAAACCGACACAGGUAGAUAGGAAGAAGAUUCUAAGGCCAACGGGAGAAGGGUUGUUAAGGAACUCGGCAAGUUGACCCCGUAACUUAGGGAUAAGGGGUGCUCAAGUGAUUGAGCCGCAGAGAAUAGGCCCAGGCGACUGUUUAGCAAAAACACAGGUCUCUGCUAAAUCGAAAGAUGACGUAUAGGGGCUGACACCUGCCCGGUGCCGGAAGGUUAAGAGGAGAUGUGAGAGCAUUGAAUUGAAGCCCCGGUAAACGGCGGCCGUAACUAUAACGGUCCUAAGGUAGCGAAAUUCCUUGUCAGGUAAGUUCUGACCCGCACGAAAGGCGUAAUGAUUUGGGCACUGUCUCAACAGCCCGCCCGGCGAAAUUGUAGUACCGGUGAAGAUGCCGGUUACCCGCGACUAGACGGAAAGACCCCAUGGAGCUUUACUGUAGCCUAAUAUUGGAUUUCGGUAUUUCACGUACAGGAUAGGUGGGAGACUGGGAAGCACAGGCGUCAGCUUGUGUGGAGUCGACCUUGGGAUACCACUCUUGGAGUGCUGGAAUUCUAACCUGCGGCUUUGAAGCAAGUCGGGGGACAUUGUUAGGUGGGCAGUUUGACUGGGGCGGUCGCCUCCUAAAGAGUAACGGAGGCGCUCAAAGGUUCGCUCUGCAUGGAUGGAAACCAUGCGUCAGAGUGUAAACGCAAAAGCGAGCCUAACUGCGAGAAUGACGGUUCGAGCAGUAACGAAAGUUGGAGUUAGUGAUCCGGCGGUAUGUGAAUGGAAAUGCCGUCGCUCAACGGAUAAAAGCUACCCUGGGGAUAACAGGCUGAUCUCCCCCAAGAGUCCACAUCGACGGGGAGGUUUGGCACCUCGAUGUCGGCUCAUCGCAUCCUGGGGCUGAAUUCGGUCCCAAGGGUUUGGCUGUUCGCCAAUUAAAGCGGUACGCGAGCUGGGUUCAGAACGUCGUGAGACAGUUCGGUCCCUAUCUGUCGUGGGCGCAGGAUAUUUGAAAGGAGCUGUCCCUAGUACGAGAGGACCGGGAUGGACGCACCUCUGGUGCACCAGUUGUCACGCCAGUGGCACAGCUGGGCAGCUAUGUGCGGAACGGAUAAACGCUGAAGGCAUCUAAGCGUGAAGCCGCCCUUAAGAUAAGAUAUCCCUUCUGUUUACAGAGUAAGACCCCUUGAAGACUACAAGGUUGAUAGGCUCAAAGUGUAAGCACGGUGACGUGUUUAGCUAGCGAGUACUAAUCGGUCGAGGGCUUAACCUU